GACGAACGCUGGCGGCGUGCCUAAUACAUGCAAGUAGAACGCACAGUUUAUACCGUAGCUUGCUACACCAUAAACUGUGAGUUGCGAACGGGUGAGUAACGCGUAGGUAACCUGCCUGGUAGCGGGGGAUAACUAUUGGAAACGAUAGCUAAUACCGCAUAAUAUUAAUUAUUGCAUGAUAAUUGAUUGAAAGAUGCAAUUGCAUCACUACCAGAUGGACCUGCGUUGUAUUAGCUAGUAGGUGAGGUAACGGCUCACCUAGGCGACGAUACAUAGCCGACCUGAGAGGGUGAUCGGCCACACUGGGACUGAGACACGGCCCAGACUCCUACGGGAGGCAGCAGUAGGGAAUCUUCGGCAAUGGACGAAAGUCUGACCGAGCAACGCCGCGUGAGGGAAGAAGGGUGUCGGAUCGUAAAGCUCUGUUGUAAGAGAAGAACGGGUGUGAGAGUGGAAAGUUCACACUGUGACGGUAUCUUACCAGAAAGGGACGGCUAACUACGUG
rnacentral:rRNA from 1 species